rnacentral:tRNA from 1 species
GAGGGUAUAGCUCAAGUGGUAGAGUGAAUGCUUAGUGUGCAUGAGGUCCUGCGUUCAAUCCCCAGUAACUCCU